rnacentral:rRNA from 1 species
GAUGAACGCUGGCGGCGUGCCUAAUACAUGCAAGUCGAGCGAACAGACGAGGAGCUUGCUCCUCUGACGUUAGCGGCGGACGGGUGAGUAACACGUGGAUAACCUACCUAUAAGACUGGGAUAACUUCGGGAAACCGGAGCUAAUACCGGAUAAUAUAUUGAACCGCAUGGUUCAAUAGUGAAAGACGGUUUUGCUGUCACUUAUAGAUGGAUCCGCGCCGCAUUAGCUAGUUGGUAAGGUAACGGCUUACCAAGGCAACGAAGCGUAGCCGACCUGAGAGGGUGAUCGGCCACACUGGAACUGAGACACGGUCCAGACUCCUACGGGAGGCAGCAGUAGGGAAUCUUCCGCAAUGGGCGAAAGCCUGACGGAGCAACGCCGCGUGAGUGAUGAAGGUCUUCGGAUCGUAAAACUCUGUUAUUAGGGAAGAACAAAUGUGUAAGUAACUAUGCACGUCUUGACGGUACCUAAUCAGAAAGCCACGGCUAACUACGUG